rfam:Salmo salar isolate Sally breed double haploid chromosome ssa16, whole genome shotgun sequence.
AGUGGUACUGUUUGUAAGUCGCUCUGGAUAAGAGCGUCUGCUAAAUGACUAAAA